rnacentral:rRNA from 1 species
UACGAAGGGGGCUAGCGUUGUUCGGAUUUACUGGGCGUAAAGCGCACGUAGGCGGAUCUUUAAGUCAGAGGUGAAAUCCCAAAGGCUCAACCUUGGAACUGCCUUUGAUACUGGGGAUCUUGAGUCCGGGAGAGGUGAGUGGAACUGCGAGUGUAGAGGUGAAAAUUCGUAGAUAUUCGCAAGAACACCAGUGGCGAAGGCGGCUCACUGGCCCGGUACUGACGCUGAGGUGCGAAAGCGUGGGGAGCAACAGGG